GAAGAUUCAAAAUGUCUCCUGCUAUGCAUAUCUAUGUGUUGUUUUUCUGUAGGUUCGCAAGUAUAUUUGACAUUGACCAAGGGAUAUAACAGAGUGUAUGUGCAGCUAAUUAUCUUAUGUACAAUUAUUUAUCUGUUUGUCUUUUUUUUAGCAAUGGCGUUGUCACUUUAUUUUCAAUCUAUGAGUUUGACUGUCCCUCUGGUAUCUUUCGUCCCCCUUUUCUAUUACAUUCUGUCCAGCAUUAUGAGCAAAGAGUUAAAUUUGUUUCUACCUCUCACACAC
rnacentral:lncRNA from 1 species